CCAUAGCACUUAUUAAAUUGUGUUGAGUGCUUAGUUUUCUGUCUUAUUAGAAUGGAAGUUCCAUGUCAAUAGGACAUGUGGAAAUAUCCACAUAUUUCCCUUCCUCUGGCACUCUACAUGGACAAAGCUGGGAUUGCUUUUUGGCUAGUAUAAUAUUUCCAGAAUCCCUGAGGCUUGCUUUUAAAUCAGCAUAAGCUGGUUUUGUGUCUCACUUUUGUGUUGUACAAUUACAGAAAGCAGCAAAUACUUAUGUUGGCAUGUCCUGUCAUGACAUGAGCCAAAAGCUGUCAUCCUCAUAGAUUCCCUGUCUAAGGGAAUAGUCGCCCUAUCAGCAUUUGAAAGAAACACUCCUGAAACCUUUUGGAGACUCCAAAGUUAUGUACUGUCAUUUGAUGGAUAAGUGACUCAAAAUUCACAUUGAUCACAUCAUUUCAAAUUCUUAC
rnacentral:lncRNA from 1 species